CGCGCUCGGCGGGGAGGGGGCGUGGACCCGGGCUGGCAGAGCGUGGGUCGCGGUUCAGGGCGGGGCUGUGUGUGCUGUCUCUUGCGACGCUGGGCAGUCCUGGACACUAGUUGGGCAGGGCGACGGCGGCACCAUCCUGGGUCCCUGGGAGAAGUAAGAGCGGGAAGGCAUUUCACAACAGGAAACAGAAUGGAAGGAUAAGAAGGUUGGGAGAAGAACUGAGAAGAGACAAAAAUUGUACAGGAGAAGCUGACCACAACACAGAGAAAAAGGCAAUCGAGGGCCAGGGGAAAGUCCACGGAAAAGCGGCUCCACACAGCGGACCUACGAAGAGCCAAUAGUGCAUGCAUACCAACGCGCUGGACCCACUGAAGGACCGGGUUGAGAAGGGGAGGAGAUCCCGGCAGACGGCCCUGGAAGAGGAGGACUAGGUUGGGAGCAGCGGCAACGUCUGGACGAAAGGGAUUACCUAACUGUGACGACAGAGAAGUGUCCUCAGGCUCCGGCGAUGGUCCCGAAUGCGCAGUGUGGGGUGUCUUUCGCGCUUAGCCCACAGCAGGAACAGAACCAGCUCCUUCAGCCAGUCGCCAUUUCCCGCCUACCGACCUGCUGCACCGCACGGACAGGGACCCGGAUGAAAAGCGGCCUCCCCGCGCAGGCGCUAUGACUUUCUCCUCCCCCUCCCUCCACAAUUCCUCGAGGCGGGAGGGAAGGAAUGCAGGCGGCCACAGCUGAGGGGGUUGGAGGGUUCGACUUUUACUUCCGUGAAGAGGUUAAGUUCCUGACGCCCGAAGAAACUCGAGUUAAAGAACAUCAUUGAAACGUUGCUUUCCAUAGUCUGCAGGAUCCAUCUGAAGCUCUCUCUCUUCAUCAUCUGUAAGUAAAAUAAUUAUGUAUUAAGAAUAAUAUCUUAAAAUCAUAAUAGAA